rnacentral:rRNA from 1 species
UUUAUACAACGAAGAGUUUGAUCCUGGCUCAGGAUGAACGCUAGCGGCAGGCCUAACACAUGCAAGUCGAAC